CCUACGGGCGGCUGCAGUGGGGAAUAUUGGACAAUGGGCGAAAGCCUGAUCCAGCCAUGCCGCGUGUGUGAAGAAGGCCUUCGGGUUGUAAAGCACUUUCAGUGGGGAAGAAAGCCUUGGGGCUAAUACCCUCGAGGAAGGACAUCACCCACAGAAGAAGCACCGGCUAACUCCGUGCCAGCAGCCGCGGUAAUACGGAGGGGUGCGAGCGUUAAUCGGAAUUACUGGGCGUAAAGCGCGCGUAGGCGGUCUGAUAAGCCGGUUGUGAAAGCCCCGGGCUCAACCUGGGAACGGCAUCCGGAACUGUCAGGCUAGAGUGCAGGAGAGGAAGGUGGAAUUCCCGGUGUAGCGGUGAAAUGCGUAGAGAUCGGGAGGAAUACCAGUGGCGAAGGCGGCCUUCUGGACUGACACUGACGCUGAGGUGCGAAAGCGUGGGUAGCAAACAGGAUUAGAUACCCUGGUAGUC
rnacentral:rRNA from 1 species